rnacentral:rRNA from 1 species
CCUACGGGAGACAGCAGUAGGGAAUCUUCCACAAUGGGCUAAAGCCUGAUGGAGCAACGCCGCGUGGGUGAAGAAGGUCUUCGGAUCGUAAAACCCUGUUGUUAGAGAAGAAAGUGCGUGAGAGUAACUGUUCACGUUUCGACGGUAUCUAACCAGAAAGCCACGGCUAACUACGUGCCAGCAGCCGCGGUAAUACGGAGGUGGCAAGCGUUGUCCGGAUUUAUUGGGCGUAAAGGGAACGCAGGCGGUCUUUUCAGUCUGAUGUGAAAGGCGUCGGCUUAACCGGAGUAGUGCAUUGGAAACUGGGAGACUUGAGUGCAGAAGAGGAGAGCGGAACGCCAUGUGUAGCGGUGAAAUGCGUAGAUAUAUGGAAGAACACCAGUGGCGAAAGCGGCUCUCUGGUCUGUAACUGACGCUGAGGUUCGAAAGCGUGGGUAGCAAACAGGAUUAGAUACCCGAGUAGUC